UACGGGGGGGGUAAGCGUUGUUCGGAAUUACUGGGCGUAAAGGGCUCGUAGGCGGCCAACUAAGUCAUACGUGAAAUCCCUCAGCUUAACUGGGGAACUGCGUGUGAUACUGGACGGCUUGGAUUUGGGAGAGGGAUGCGGAAUUCCAGGUGUAGCGGUGAAAUGCGUAGAUAUCUGGAGGAACACCGGUGGCGAAGGCGGCAUCCUGGACCAAUAUUGACGCUGAGGAGCGAAAGCCAGGGGAGCAAACGGG
rnacentral:rRNA from 1 species